rnacentral:tRNA from 1 species
UGCGGGAUUGUGUAAGGGUAGCACAAGUGACUCUGGAUCACUCUGUCUGGGUUCGAAUCCUAGUCCCGCAGCCA